GAUGAACUCGAAGUUGAUUUUCUGCCUCCUUCUAGUCUUUAAUGCUAGGUUUUCUGAGCCGAGUGUAUUUAAUGCAGACUGGAUUCCGGUUCGGUUUCCUAAAUGGUUUGAUUCCCCUCUUGUACUCUCACAUGUACCGUUUAUGCCUGCAGCUGAUGUUGGUCGGGCCUGUACAUACAAUGGAGUACAUGGGACCUGCCA